UGGGGAAUAUUGCACAAUGGGCGAAAGCCUGAUGCAGCGACGCCGCGUGCGGGAUGAAGGCCUUCGGGUUGUAAACCGCUUUUAAUUGGGAGCAAGCGAGAGUGAGUGUACCUUUUGAAUAAGCACCGGCUAACUACGUGCCAGCAGCCGCGGUAAUACGUAGGGUGCAAGCGUUAUCCGGAAUUAUUGGGCGUAAAGAGCUCGUAGGCGGUUUGUCACGCCUGGUGUGAAAGUCCAUCGCUUAACGGUGGAUCUGCGCCGGGUACGGGCAGGCUAGAGUGCAGUAGGGGAGAUUGGAAUUCCCGGUGUAACGGUGGAAUGUGUAGAUAUCGGGAAGAACACCAAUGGCGAAGGCAGAUCUCUGGGCUGUUACUGACGCUGAGGAGCGAAAGCAUGGGGAGCGAACAGGAUUAGAUACCCUGGUAGUCCAUGCCGUAAACGGUG
rnacentral:rRNA from 1 species